GGAUGGUCCCCCACACUGGUACUGAGACACGGACCAGACUCCUACGGGAGGCAGCAGUGAGGAAUAUUGGUCAAUGGGCGGAAGCCUGAACCAGCCAUGCCGCGUGCAGGAAGACGGCCCUACGGGUUGUAAACUGCUUUUCCGGGGGAAGAAUAAUCCCGACGUGUCGGGAGAUGCCGGUACCCCGGGAAUAAGGAUCGGCUAACUCCGUGCCAGCAGCCGCGGUAAUACGGAGGAUCCCGAGCGUUAUCCGGAUUUACUGGGUUUAAAGGGUGCGUAGGCGGGCGCUAAGUCAGCGGUGAAAUGCGGGGGCUCAACCUUCGAACGGCCGUUGAUACUGGGCGCCUUGGAUUCGGUCGAGGCGGGCGGAAUGCGACAUGUAGCGGUGAAAUGCUUAGAUAUGUCGCAGAACGCCGAUUGCGAAGGCAGCUCG
rnacentral:rRNA from 1 species